ACAAUUCGUAGGUGCUCCGAUUGGACUGAGAUUGGGGUGGUCACGGAUUUGCGUCCCUCUGUCGUGGCUCACAACACCGGUCAGACAUCAGAUUGAGCGUGGAGAAGCGGCGACUGCCGAUGUCUGGCGACUGCCAUUGUUAUCGGUAAACAGAUCGUGGCGGUUGGCGCGCUCGGUGCGCGGAGCGUCGUGCAGCACCGAGAGUAUCGAUAUUUCGGGAAUCGCAACCAUUACCCGUAGCCGUGAUUUCUUACGUAGCGGAGAUUGUAGCGCCGCAGUGCGUACGUGGGAAGUAGCUCGUAUCGGCCGCUCGCGCCAAAAGUGAGUUUGGCGCGCAAACUCUGCUAACUGCUGACGCGGGGAAUGCCGAGAGCAGCAACGACAACUUGAUCGAAGCCUUACUAUUAACAUCUAUUACUAUUAAUACUAUUAACAAGAAAUAACGAAUACUUAUUCAGUUAUUGAUGUAGAUGUAUCUCCUGGAAAUUGUUGCAAUACAAUAUACUUCCUGGAUUCUUUGUGUCUGAGGUAAUAAGGUUUUUCUUCUCUCAGUGUAGAUGAGUCCUCUGGAAAUUGUUGGAAUACGUUGCGCUUCCUGGAUGUACGAUGUCUGAGGUAUAAGAUUAAAUGCUGAUGAGAAUGAAUGCGGAACGACACAGUCGGCAUGCAGGUGCGGAUUUCAUUGUUGAGAACUGGAAACUGAUUUUUGAUCUUUGGACAUCGCUUUAAAAUAAUCUAUUACAGUCGCGGCCGGACGGUGGGUGCGACUUCCGCACACAGAAAAAUACGUACUGUAUUCGAAUACGUUACUUGUUUCAAGUAUCUCAUAAUUUUAUGUAUUCGCAAAUCUAUCAUGCUCAUCAUAAGCAUCAAAUUUAUUUAAAUACAUCCUGAAUCCCCUGUAAGUUCAGCAUUUCAAUCAAGAGUAUCGAAUUGAAACAAAAAUUCAGUUUUACUCACUGCAUAGAAACGAGCCAAUUUCUUCUAAAGUUUCAUGAUGUUUUUGCUGAAGAUGAUUUGAAAGAAGGAAAAUAAAUUGAGUAAUCGUUUUCUUUGACAGUAGAAUGAUAUUUUUCUUUGUGCGGGGGUGUGCAGUUUCGGAUGCUGUACCGGAGGAUCCGGUUCGGGCCGAGGGACAGAAGACCUGUAGCAGAACACGGUCGACUUUGAGUUUUUGAUAUUUCGGUAGAUUUCCAAGAAAAAGGUAUGAAAAAUUAAAGAUAAUGGAUUUUUUGGUAGUGGGUCUGUAGAAUCUUAGGAAUUGAUGCGUUUUACUUAGUUUAUAGAAUUUUGUAUGUUUGUGUUUGUCCCAUUGAGAUACAUUGCUCGAGAUAAUCGGAGGAUCGUUUCUUUAAAUACUCAUAUUACGUAGCAGAUAUAGCUGAAAAUACGUGUACGUGUCUAUAUAGAUACAUUUAUACGUAAUUUUUAGUGUAAACACGCGUUUAUAUAGGCAGAAACUUUUUAAUGUUCUUAUUAUACUUGACUAAAUAUUUAGAAUUAUUCGAUGUAGUUGUUUAUUCGGUGCUAUUCCCCUGAUUGUCACGAGAAAUACAAGAUGCGCAUUAAAAUCGCGAAGCUGAAUCGAUGCCCAGAUUUUCGCGCACGCGAUAUCGUGAAUGUUCAUUUCGUUCGUGUUUAUAAAUCGCGUAAUUGUCAACUUUUCCAAUAUCAGUUUUCGUAAGCGAUGGAGGCAGCAUCGUUUCAACGAAAAUUAUUGCUGCCUUCGACUUGUCCACAUGUUUAUUUUAAAUAUUGUACCAUGUAGUCUUCACGAAACGAUAACCAUGUUUUCCCACAAAGCAUAGUCGUUUGCGAUGAGAUAUUCUCUUCUUUGCGUGACCUUGUCGGAAGCAUCGUGAUCCACGGUUUAUGGUCUUUUACAUGUGAUUCGUGACUCAUGAACGUAUUUUUGAAGCGUCGGGAUUUGUACUAGUCAAUAUAUUCUCUCCGUUCACAAUUAUCAAACGCCGUCAUCAUCGUGAAAGUACAGUAUAAUUAGCGAAGUGUAAUCAACAUGCGGCAAAGACAAUAACAUCACUUAUAAUGUUCCAAUGUCCGUUUAUUUGCUUCAAAAAUUGACAUCCUCGCAUAAGAACGACCAUAUUUUCUGAUAUAAUGAUCCGUAAUACGUUUUUUCCCGACUUUGUUAAGAGCAUCGUAAUCUUCAGUUCGUAAUUUAUUUAUACGCGACUCGCGACUCGGGAACGUAUUUUCGAAACGCCGGAAUGUGUAUCACGGACUUUUCAUUCGCUUGUUAAACGCUGUCAAAAAUAUCGCGGUCGCGAGUGAAGUGUAAUUAGCGAAGUAUGCUCAACGGGGAACGACGCCUGAUCGUCGCAGAGGCUGGACGUUGGACAUGGGGCAAUGCAGUUGAGAUACAGCGAUGGAGUUUCAUUGGUGGAUCUGGAAUAUCAACGCGUAAUGGUGAGUGUUUCACAUGAACACUCGCAAAGAGUCUUAUUAUGUAGUGCACGUUUAGACGUAAAACGCGUUGAGUUUCACUGAGAAGUAGUAAGCGCAAUUAUACACUGUUUAAGUUUAAGGAUGCGAACAUUCGAAUAAUUUAAUGUCUGAAUUGAAAGUGAGAUAUUUCAAUGGCGUAUUUUGAAGCUCACUUAUUAAAGUGAGCUUCAAAAUACGUCACUCAGACUCAAGCUAGAAUUCGAUGAUUUGCG